UGCUUUUUAGCGUAGUGGUUUGAGUGCUGGAUUACAACUCUGGAGGCCAGGGUUCGAUUCCCCAGUCAACCAU